rnacentral:rRNA from 1 species
AACGAACGCUGGCGGCAUGCCUAACACAUGCAAGUCGAACGAUGCCUUCGGGCAUAGUGGCGCACGGGUGCGUAACGCGUGGGAAUCUGCCCUUGGGUUCGGAAUAACUCAGAGAAAUUUGAGCUAAUACCGGAUGAUGACGUAAGUCCAAAGAUUUAUCGCCCAAGGAUGAGCCCGCGUAAGAUUAGCUAGUUGGUGGGGUAAAGGCCUACCAAGGCGACGAUCUUUAGCUGGUCUGAGAGGAUGAUCAGCCACACUGGGACUGAGACACGGCCCAGACUCCUACGGGAGGCAGUAGUGGGGAAUAUUGGACAAUGGGCGAAAGCCUGAUCCAGCAAUGCCGCGUGAGUGAUGAAGGCCUUAGGGUUGUAAAGCUCUUUUACCAGGGAUGAUAAUGACAGUACCUGGAGAAUAAGCUCCGGCUAACUCCGUG